AUGCAGUGCGGUGAGCAAUUCAACUGUGUAUUUCUGAGAUUUCAACGGUGGCCUGGGAUUGCGCCGCCCGUGCCCUGCAUCGCCAGCGGCCUGGGCUCGCACCGCCCGUGCCCUGCAUCGCCAGCGGCCUCGGCUCGCACCGGCAAGCAGCUCCCCCGCGACCCCUGGAGCCGGACCCUCCCCUCCCCUGCCGCGCGACUCUGCUCUGCUCCUUCCGCCAUCCCCGCGCGACUCUCGCAGCCGGAUCCACCCCUCCACUUCUGCAACUCCUCUCUGCUCCUCCCUCCCGCCAUCCCCGCGCCACCACGACGGGCUACCAGCACGGGCAGCUGCUGCCGUCCACAACGCCCUACCCAGCGAGCCCCGCCUGGCCACGGCUCCUCAAGCGGCUGUACUCGACGGUGCUCGCGCAGUACUCUGACUCCGGCCCGCGGUGGAACUGCAUUGGUACCCUGCCUCCCACCCCUCCCCUCCCAAUCCCCGCCUUGA
rnacentral:rRNA from 1 species